rnacentral:tRNA from 1 species
GCGGGGGUCGCCAAGCCUGGUCAAAUACCACGGCGGAAGCCGUGGAAAACAACCGGCGCAGGACUGAGGCUCCUGUCCCGAAGGGGUUCGUGGGUUCAAAUCCCACCCCCCGCA